rnacentral:rRNA from 1 species
AAAAGUAAGCAAGGGCGCAUGGCGGAUGCCUUGGCUCUCGGAGGCGAUGAAGGACGUGAUAAGCUGCGAUAAGCUUCGGGUAGGUGCAAAUAACCUUUGAUCCGGAGAUUUCCGAAUGGGACAACCCGGUUGGUUGAAGACCAAUCAUUCUGCAUAGCAGAAGGCUAACGCAGGGAACUGAAACAUCUUAGUACCUGCAGGAAAAGAAAAUAAAUAAUGAUUCCCCUAGUAGUGGCGAGCGAACGGGGACUAGCCCAAACCACCUAUGUUACGGCAUAUGUGGGGUUGUAGGACCACGUUGUGGCAUGAAAGUUGGUGAGCAGAAUGUUCUGGAAAGUACAGCCAUAGAGCAUGAUAGCUGCGUAUGCGAAGCCAACCUAAGCCUAGUGGUAUCCUGAGUAGCGCGGAGCACGAGGAAUUCUGCGUGAAUCUGCCGGGACCAUCCGGUAAGGCUAAAUACUCCCGAGAGACCGAUAGUGAACCAGUACUGUGAAGGAAAGGUGAAAAGCACUUCGAACAGAAGAGUGAAAUAGUUCCUGAAACCAUGCGCCUACAAGCGGUCGGAGCUCGCAAGAGUGACGGCGUGCCUUUUGCAUAAUGAACCUACGAGUUACUUUUUCCGGCAAGGUUAAGGAUCUUGAGAUCUGCAGCCGAAGCGAAAGCGAGUCUUAACAGGGCGUAUAGUCGGAAGGAGUAGACGCGAAACCAAGUGAUCUACCCUUGAGCAGGUUGAAGGAUGGGUAACACCAUCUGGAGGACCGAACCAAUAAGCGUUGAAAAGCUUCUGGAUGACUUGAGGGUGGGGGUGAAAGGCUAAUCAAACUUGGAGAUAGCUCGUACUCCCCGAAAUGCAUUUAGGUGCAGCCUUGACUUAUACUGACAUGAGGUAGAGCGACUGAUAAGAUGCGAGGGCUUCACCGCCUAUCAAGUCUUGACAAACUCCGAAUGCGUGUCAGUUCUAUGUCAGGAGUGAGGGCAUGGGUGCUAAGGUCCAUGUCCUAAAGGAGAACAAUCCGGACCAACAGCUAAGGUCCCGAAAUGAAUACUAAGUUGAACUAACGAAGUCAGAUUGCUAAGACAGCUAGGAUGUUGGCUUGGAAGCAGCCAUUCAUUUAAAGAGUGCGUAACAGCUCACUAGUCGAGGAGUUUGGCGUGGAUAAUAAUCGGGCAUUAAGUAUUCUACCGAAGCUUUGGGAUGUGUAAACAUCGGUAGGGGAGCAUUCCACUCUGCGUCGAAGGUGAAGCGUGAGCUUUGCUGGAGCGUGUGGAAAAGCAAAUGUAGGUAUAAGUAACGAUAAAGGGGGUGGGAAACCCCCUCGCCGAAAGACUAAGGUUUCCUGAUCAACGCUAAUCGGAUCAGGGUUAGUCGGGUCCUAAGGCUCAGCCGAACGGCGAGGCCGAUGGCAGAACAGGUUAAUAUUCCUGUACUACCUUUAGGAGUGAUGUGGAGACGGAGCAGUGACAGCGCCGCCAUCUGACGGAAUAGAUGGUUGAAGGGUGUAGAUGUUGAUUCCUGCAGGCAAAUCCGCAGGAAGAGUCGAACCUGAUAGUAUACAGCGUUCUUCGAACAAUGUAAUAGUGCGUGUAAACAUACUUCCAAGAAAAUCCGCUAAACUUAAUCCUAACGGUACCCGUACCGUAAACGGACACACGUAGUCGGGUUGAAUAUACUAAGGCGCUUGAGUGAUUCACGGUUAAGGAACUAGGCAAACUGACCCUGUAACUUCGGGAUAAAGGGUCCUCAUCAGUGAUGGUGAGGCGCAGAGAAUCGGUCCAGGCAACUGUUUAACAAAAACACAGGGCUGUGCAAAAUAGAAAUAUGAAGUAUACAGCCUGACACCUGCCCGGUGCUGGAAGGUUAAGAGGAGAUGUCAUCGCAAGAGAAGCAUUGAAUUGAAGCCCCAGUAAACGGCGGCCGUAACUAUAACGGUCCUAAGGUAGCGAAAUUCCUUGUCGGGUAAGUUCCGACCUGCACGAAUGGUGUAAUGAUCUGGACGCUGUCUCAACCGUGAGCUCAGUGAAAUUGUAGUAUCGGUGAAGAUGCCGAUUACCCGCGAUGGGACGAAAAGACCCCGUGAACCUUUACUAUAGCUUAACAUUGAAUUUGGGUAAUUGAUGUGUAGGAUAGGCCGGAGGCUUUGAAGCAUGUACGCCUAGUAUUUGUGGAGCCGCUGUUGAAAUACGGCCCCU